AGCUUUGCACAGUGGCAGUAUCGUAGCCAAUGAGGUUUAUCCGGGGCGCGGUUAUUGCUAAUUGAAAACUUAUCUUCUAAUUAAUGUGUUUUACUCUUUACUUUCCUAAAGUAACCUGUAAAUAUUUCAUUUAAUUUGAAA